CAGAAAGUCCUGAGCUUACGUCUAAAAACAAAGCUUCAGGCUAUCCCAGCUCUUCCCAGCUCGCUGUGUGAAAAGCUAACAUGGCCUUGAGCGCCGGCUAGACUUGGCUGGGAAACCUCCUUCUCCUGUCUGGGGUGUGAUUCUAGCCAGCUCAGGAGCCCAGGUGAUCCCCCAUGGUUGGGGACCAAGAAGACGUAGUUUGUGAAUCCAGGUUAAGCAGUCACUGGCUGUACCCACGAAAACUCCAGAAAGUGCCGCCAUCCUUGAGAAAAAUCUGCCUUCAGACUGACCGAGGUGCUGAUCGAUCCUUUCCGCAAAGGAGCUCUGGGAAGUGGGAAACUUUUGCCAGAGGACAGACUGCAGAAGGAUCCAAGAGUCACCUUUGCUCAGGUUUCUGCUGGAAUGAACUUACUCGGAGGCUCAUUCUAGAUGCUGCAAUGCGAGCAGACCACAGGAAGAAACAGCAGACGGUGAUUGGGUGGCUCCUGUGUAAUCCAGAGAAACCUCCCAGGUUGCCAAAGCCAGGUUUGCUUGUUCCCUACAACUUUGACCAAACCCAGAUGCCCUGGCCCAGAUAAUGAACUUGGUAAAUGUUAGCAUUCGUUUGCAAAUUGUCUUCUCCUCCAUCAAAGAGAUGGGGACUGAGACCUGGAAAUACGUAAAAGCUUAAAGGCUAGGACCCGCCACCGACUGAGAAUCCACAUAAAUGAUGCAAAACUCCUCUAAAAUUAUCAUACACUGUUCUCCACUCCUCCGAUUUGGUUCCCUUCUCCAGAACAUGAAGAUUUCUUACGGAGAUUACUUUAUCUUUCCCUUUACAAAAUCAGUUUUGAGGAAUUUCUGGCUCAUCAAGAGAAGCAGCCAUGACAUUGGGGUCAUCCUCCAGACAAAUACCUCAUCUCGCCUGAUGAAAUCAGGAAGGUGCUUCUGGUGUCCAAGGGAUGAAUGUCUCAUCUCCUGGGAGGGGACUGAAGUCCUCGGCCAGGGGAAGCCAGAACAUCUGUUACAGGCAUGAUCCAGCCUGCUGGCUGAGCGGAAUCUACGGAGGCACUUAGAAUAAAGCCUUGGGUCUUCAUGAGAAGACAUUGCCGUGGUCAUCAAGCCAUUUGCAAUGGAAUCCAGGAUGCGCUCAUAGGGACUAAAUACGCUUAUGAAAAAAUGGUUAUUAGUAUAAUAGUGGGUCCAAAAAGCUCACUGUCUCAGGCACUGACUUUCCUUUGGCUCAUUUGAAAAAAAAAGAUGGGGCACCUGGGUGGCUCAGUCGGUUAAGCGGCCGACUUCGGCUCAGGUCACGACCUCGCGGUCCGUGAGUUCGAGCCCCGCAUCGGGCUCUGUGCUGACAGCUCGGAGCCCGGAGCCUGUUUCGGAUUCUGUGUCUCCCUGUCUCUGACCCUCCCCCGUUCAUGCUCUGUCUCUCCCUGUCUCAAAAAUAAAUAAAACGUUAAAAAAUUUUUUGAAAAAAAAAGUUUUGUUUUUGUUUUUUUUUUUUUUUUACUCACUGGAAACAGACUUAAUAUUUCAGGAAGAACAUUUUCACGAACAGAAAUUAAUUUUGCAGAUUCAACAGAGCAGUUCAGAUAAUGAAAAAGACUGGAAAGACAAUGCAAAAGAAGUUUGACUUUUGUUCCCAAAGCACUGUGGGUGCUCCAGCUGGUACUUCUCUUAGAAAUAAAACUUGAGGGGUGCCUGGGUGGCGCAGUCGGUUAAGCGUCCGACUUCAGCCAGGUCACGAUCUCGCGGUCCGUGAGUUCGAGCCCCGCGUCAGGCUCUGGGCGGAUGGCUCAGAGCCUGGAGCCUGUUUCCGAUUCUGCGUCUCCCUCUCUCUCUGCCCCUCCCCCGUUCAUGCUCUGUCUCUCUCUGUCCCAAAAAUAAAUAAACGUUGAAAAAAAAAAUUAAAAAAAAAAAAGAAAUAAAACUU